ensembl:lncRNA
GGGGAAGGACACAUUCCAAGGUCACUGGCGCAGCCGGAUUCCCUCUUCACCCUUACAGAACAGUGGGAUCAGGGGCUGGAAUGUGCACUCGUACCUCUCUGUUCGCAGCAUACCUCUGUGGUUCGCCGGCUGCACACCUAAGGGCUGUUGUAAAAGCCCGGGUCAAUCACUGCAGGAGCCGCCACGUCGGCGCCGCAAUCCUUGUGUUUCAAGUCCUUCCACCCAAAACAUUUCCAAACUGCUAGGAAUCAUCUCCUGGAAAAAGUAUGCUUGAGCCCAGCACCUCAAAAGUCUUGGACCUCGGCUAAAUGAGCCACCUGUCCUAGGUGAAGAGUAUUGGCUGCCACUCAGUCCCCUCUGUUCUACUUUUCCUUCUCUGCAUGCAAUCUCUCUUUUUUUUCUUUUUUACCUCUAUGUUGUGAAUUACAUAAUAUUGUCCAAAUUUCCUCAUAAAAUAAAGUAUAAG